AGCGAACGCUGGCGGCAGGCCUAACACAUGCAAGUCGAACGAACUCUUCGGAGUUAGUGGCGGACGGGUGAGUAACACGUGGGAACGUGCCUUUUGGUUCGGAAUAACUCAGGGAAACUUGUGCUAAUACCGAAUGUGCCCUUCGGGGGAAAGAUUUAUCGCCAUUAGAGCGGCCCGCGUCUGAUUAGCUAGUUGGUGAGGUAACGGCUCACCAAGGCGACGAUCAGUAGCUGGUCUGAGAGGAUGACCAGCCACACUGGGACUGAGACACGGCCCAGACUCCUACGGGAGGCAGCAGUGGGGAAUCUCGCGCAAUGGGCGAAAGCCUGACGCAGCCAUGCCGCGUGAAUGAUGAAGGUCUUAGGAUUGUAAAAUUCUUUCACCGGGGACGAUAAUGACGGUACCCGGAGAAGAAGCCCCGGCUAACUUCGUG
rnacentral:rRNA from 1 species